rnacentral:rRNA from 1 species
CCUACGGGAGGCAGCAGUGGGGAACCAAGGACAAUGGGGGCAACCCUGAUCCAGCCAUGCCGCGUGAGUAAUGAAGGCCUUAGGGUCGUAAAGCUCUUUCGCCUGUGAAGAUAAUGACUGUAGCAGGUAAAGAAACCCCGGCUAACUCCGUGCCAGCAGCCGCGGUAAUACGGAGGGGGUUAGCGUUGUUCGGAAUUACUGGGCGUAAAGCGCGCGUAGGCGGACUGGAAAGUUGGGGGUGAAAUCCCAGGGCUCAACCCUGGAACUGCCUCCAAAACUAUCAGUCUAGAGUUCGAGAGAGGUGAGUGGAAUUCCGAGUGUAGAGGUGAAAUUCGUAGAUAUUCGGAGGAACACCAGUGGCGAAGGCGGCUCACUGGCUCGAUACUGACGCUGAGGUGCGAAAGUGUGGGGAGCAAACAGGAUUAGAUACCCUGGUAGUCCACACCGUAAACGAUGAAUGCCAGUCGUCGGGUAGCAUGCUAUUCGGUGACACACCUAACGGAUUAAGCAUUCCGCCUGGGGAGUACGGUCGCAAGAUUAAAACUCAAAGGAAUUGACGGA